CCUACGGGAGGCAGCAGUGAGGAAUAUUGGUCAAUGGACGAGAGUCUGAACCAGCCAAGUAGCGUGAAGGAUGACAGCCCUAUGGGUUGUAAACUUCUUUUAUAAAGGAAUAAAACGAGGCACGUGUGCCGUUUUGCAUGUACUUUAUGAAUAAGGAUCGGCUAACUCCGUGCCAGCAGCCGCGGUAAUACGGAGGAUCCGAGCGUUAUCCGGAUUUAUUGGGUUUAAAGGGAGCGUAGAUGGGUUGGUAAGUCAGUGGUGAAAGUUUGCGGCUCAACCGUAAAAGUGCAAGUGAUACUGGCAGUCUUGAGUACAGUUGAGGUAGGUGGAAUUCGUGGUGUAGCGGUGAAAUGCUUAGAUAUCACGAAGAACCCCGAUUGCGAAGGCAGCUUACUAACCUGUGACUGACGUUGAUGCUCGAAAGUGUGGGUAUCAAACAGGAUUAGAUACCCCUGUAGUC
rnacentral:rRNA from 1 species